AAAUCCUCUUCUUCUAAGGAAAUAAUGUUGUGUUCUGAAGUAAUAAUACAAUUUUCUGCUGUUCCCAACUUUCUGUAAAGAAGCAAUCUGUAGGUAAACCAGAUAUUCUCAUUCUCAUUGGAAAAUUUAAUUCUGUCUCUUAGUGUCUCUCUUUUUAUAAUCUACCAUACCAGGUAUUUGAUGUCUUAGGGAAGAUAAGGGGGAGGUCUGGGGAAGGAAAUUGAAAAUACUUAUUUGAAGUUUCCACAUCUGACUUUUAGAAAACAUCUAUGGCAAUGGAAUAACUUUAUAUUCAUUCUGAGUUUCUUAACAUGUUUCACUUGGGCUGUGGAAAUGGAUAAAAGAGAUGGAAUAUCUGUCCACGCUAAACCAAUGGCUAGAGUACAACUUGGAUGAGAAAUGUACAGUUGAAAUUGACCAUUUAAAAGACGAUUUGUCACACACAGUUUGCAUCCAUGCAGACUGAUAGACUUUAAUUACAUUAUGUACAAAAUGUUUCAGUUUAUUAAGGCAACCACAACUUGGAUACUUUGUCCAAGGUGAUGUGAUAGGAUUGGAGUGGUGACACCCUUUGAGCAUUUCCUUUCUUUUUUCCCAGAUAAGAACACUUAACCCCAUCUGCUUUCAUGAAAAGAGAUAAUGGACUUCAAUUGUCUUUUUGCUCCCUUUUUUUUUUCAAUGACCGUUGACAGUUAUCUGUUUGGAAAAAAAAAAAAAAUCACACACCAAGGCAUUGCUAGACACUUGUCUUUCUGGUGGGUCCGGGGUUUCAAUUUUUGGUGAUUUUUCAGUUAUUCCAUUUUCUAUGGGGCAUUAAAACCAUUUUAAUCUGUCUAUACUUCGCUGACAUGUUUUACUAUAAAAAUAACCUGAUUGAUACCUGGGUCAACAUAUCUUCAGUUGCUCUAACUUACUUAUUUUUAAAAGGCUCUAUCAAUACUAAGUAUUUGUUUCACAAUGACUGGGAUUCAAAGCCAAGUUCCUUGGAACAGCAUGCCAAGGAUGAACAUGACGACACAGUAACUGCAAUGGAAUCAAGGGUGCACCUUGGCUGCAGGAAGUCUGGCGGCUUUCAGGGAGCACCACCAACUUUUUCCUCCGGGAUGGGUCUCUUGCUGCCUGUCAAGGAACUAGCCAUACUGAAGUGCUGCUUGGUGGGAACUGCUGUGAAACACACACGCACGCGCGCAAACACACACGCACGCACACACCCAUUCUUUUGAAAACGUCCCCUUGCUUUGCUUUGCCAAGAACUCCUGAAGGCUCAACCCCGUCCU
rnacentral:lncRNA from 1 species